ACUGUAUAAUCCCUGCGGGGGAAAGAUUUAUCGCUAUUAGAUGAGCCUAUGUCAGAUUAGCUAGUUGGUGGGGUAAUGGCCCACCAAGGCGGUGAUCUGUAGCUGGUCUGAGAGGAUGAUCAGCCACACUGGAACUGAGACACGGUCCAGACUCCUACGGGAGGCAGCAGUGGGGAAUAUUGGACAAUGGGCGCAAGCCUGAUCCAGCUAUGCCGCGUGAGUGAGGAAGGCCUUAGGGUUGUAAAACUCUUUCAGUAGGGAAGAUAAUGACGGUACCUACAGAAAAAGUCCCGGCAAACUCGGGAUCCCGACCA
rnacentral:rRNA from 1 species